ACGGAUUGUUAUUGCAAUAGUUAUUGGCAGUGGUUUUGUUGAUAUUUUAUAGUAUUAUUAAAGAAGAAUAAUGAAUAAAAUUUUCCUUUUUGUUGAUUGUAUUUGUCGCGAAAUGGCUGUGUGGACAGGUGUGCACAACGCGUUGUGGCAUGUUCAUGUUUCCAAAACGCGUUUUGGUCAAUUGUUGAAAGAACCACAACACAAAUUUUGCUUUGUGGCCUUUUUGAGUAUAGCAAAACGCGUUGUGAGCUCUUUUGAAAGUGGCACGACACGAAUUUCGUAUUGUGGUUAAAUCAGAAAAGUCAGAACGCGAUAUGGUCGUUCUUUUCGCUCAAAGAGCUUUUCGGUCAUUGAGCCUAACAGAUAUACCGGUAUAUAUAUUAUUUUCUGUAAUCGAAUGUCGGUUAUUGUCAUGUCAUUGUUAAAAUUUCGCAGAAUGAUGCUUAUUGGUUACAAUGAGCUUGUUUUCCUUUAGUUGUCAAAACUGUCAAAUCAUGUAAUUAUAAAAUAGCUCCAAUCCGAAACAGAAUUUCAUUGUGAAGCCGGAAAUUUUUCACUUGACGUCGAAAUUAUUGUUUUUAUUGAUAUCAGUAUAUUUUCAGAACAACAUAUAAAAUCGUUCCAUAAGGACAACUGUCCUAAUUCAUAACUUAUUACGCAGUAGGGAGUAAGGAAGUUCAGAUUAAUGUUCUGAGGUUAAAUGGGCCGGAACAGGAUUCUGAAAAAUCUCUUAAAUCUCUCAUUUUCCAUCACCUUCCUUCCUAUAUAGCUGACGGGUAUAUAAUAUAUUAUUAUUUUAUUUAAUUCUCAAAGGAUUAUUAUUAACGAAAUAUAAAAAAGUAACAAACAUUUGUAAAAUGUGAAAUAACUAAUUUCAUGUAAUAAUUUUUAAUCAGCAAUGAUAAAAUUAAUAAAUUUCGAUUAUUAAAUGAACCGAAUUACAAAACACAUGAACA
rnacentral:lncRNA from 1 species